AGCUCCGGGUUCGAGUCCCGGGCAACCCA
rnacentral:tRNA from 1 species